GCACGGGUGAGUAACGCGUAUCCAACCUUCCGCUUACUCGGGGAUAGCCUUUCGAAAGAAAGAUUAAUACCCGAUGGUAUCUUAAGCACGCAUGAGAUUAAGAUUAAAGAUUUAUCGGUAAGCGAUGGGGAUGCGUUCCAUUAGGCAGUUGGCGGGGUAACGGCCCACCAAACCUACGAUGGAUAGGGGUUCUGAGAGGAAGGUCCCCCACAUUGGAACUGAGACACGGUCCAAACUCCUACGGGAGGCAGCAGUGAGGAAUAUUGGUCAAUGGGCGAGAGCCUGAACCAGCCAAGUAGCGUGAAGGAUGACGGCCCUACGGGUUGUAAACUUCUUUUGUGCGGGAAUAAAGGAACCUACGUGUAGGUUUUUGC
rnacentral:rRNA from 1 species